UCAAGGCUUCAUUUGAUCAUGUGUACAUUAGUGACAUGUGCCUCGAUUGAGUCUAGGAGUCAAUAAAGUUGCUAAGUUGUAAAGAAUGUUGGAUAUUCAAGUCUCCCUUACUAGUUUGUCAUGCAGUCUCGAAAAAAAUAAAAAUAAAAAUCUUGAAAAUCUUGAAAAAGGGAGGAGACAAGAGAAAUGACCCAGUCUCGAAGAUAA
rnacentral:lncRNA from 1 species